GAGACCCAGAAAACCUUCUCCGGCCCCAUGCUGACGGGAGUGAUGGGGGAGAAGCCUGAAGAAGGCCAGCGCGAGUACUGGAGGAUUCUGCGGCAUCCUAACCUCAGUUUGGACCAAGGUAUCGCCGAAUACACCCCACGAGAUCAAGACCAUAUUAUUUUGAAGAUGACCUCUUGGUAGAGACGGAUCUCAGCCCUGGUGGGCCCGGCUGUCUCUUCGCAAACAAUGGGACUUGUCCUCGGAGAUUUCUAGAAGGUUCUUUUCUUCCCCUCUUAGAGCUUGUGGACUAGGAACUUGGCUUAUUUUUAAAAAAAUGCCUCUUUUUAUUUCAGUCCGAAGUCCAGUGAUGUUAAAAAAAAAGAAAGCACAAAUGCAACGACAUUAAAUUGUUAAAAUUGAAAAUACAGAGAAGGAGAAUUGGA